rnacentral:rRNA from 1 species
UACAGAGGUCCCAAGCGUUGUUCGGAUUUACUGGGCGUAAAGCGCACGUAGGCGGAUACUUAAGUCAGGGGUGAAAUCCCGAGGCUCAACCUCGGAACUGCCUUUGAUACUGGGUAUCUCGAGUCCGGAAGAGGUGAGUGGAAUUCCGAGUGUAGAGGUGAAAUUCGUAGAUAUUCGGAGGAACACCAGUGGCGAAGGCGGCUCACUGGUCCGGUACUGACGCUGAGGUGCGAAAGCGUGGGGAGCAAACAGG